rnacentral:rRNA from 1 species
AAGAGAGCGUCUAGGCGAACAAUGUUCUUAAAGUUUGACCUCAAAUCAGGUAGGAGUACCCGCUGAACUUAAGCAUAUCAAUAAGCGGAGGAAAAGAAACCAACCGGGAUUGCCUUAGUAACGGCGAGUGAAGCGGCAAAAGCUCAAAUUUGAAAUCUGGUACCUUCGGUGCCCGAGUUGUAAUUUGGAGAGGGCAACUUUGGGGCCGUUCCUUGUCUAUGUUCCUUGGAACAGGACGUCAUAGAGGGUGAGAAUCCCGUGUGGCGAGGAGUGCGGUUCUUUGUAAAGUGCCUUCGAAGAGUCGAGUUGUUUGGGAAUGCAGCUCUAAGUGGGUGGUAAAUUCCAUCUAAAGCUAAAUAUUGGCGAGAGACCGAUAGCGAACAAGUACAGUGAUGGAAAGAUGAAAAGAACUUUGAAAAGAGAGUGAAAAAGUACGUGAAAUUGUUGAAAGGGAAGGGCAUUUGAUCAGACAUGGUGUUUUGUGCCCUCUGCUCCUUGUGGGUAGGGGAAUCUCGCAUUUCACUGGGCCAGCAUCAGUUUUGGUGGCAGGAUAAAUCCAUAGGAAUGUAGCUUGCCUCGGUAAGUAUUAUAGCCUGUGGGAAUACUGCCAGCUGGGACUGAGGACUGCGACGU